rnacentral:rRNA from 1 species
UACGUAGGGCGCAAGCGUUAUCCGGAAUUAUUGGGCGUAAAGAGCUCGUAGGCGGCCACUCAAGUCGAAUGUGAAACCUCGAGGCUUAACCUCGAGCCUGCAUUCGAUACUGGGCGGCUAGAGUCUGGUAGGGGGAUCUGGAAUUCCUGGUGUAGCGGUGGAAUGCGCAGAUAUCAGGAGGAACACCGGUGGCGAAGGCGGGAUCCUGGGCCAGUACUGACGCUGAGGAGCGAAAGCGUGGGGAGCAAACAGG